rnacentral:rRNA from 1 species
GAUGAACGCUGGCGGCGUGCCUAAUACAUGCAAGUCGAGCGAACGGACGAGAAGCUUGCUUCUCUGAUGUUAGCGGCGGACGGGUGAGUAACACGUGGAUAACCUACCUAUAAGACUGGGAUAACUUCGGGAAACCGGAGCUAAUACCGGAUAAUAUUUUGAACCGCAUGGUUCAAAAGUGAAAGACGGUCUUGCUGUCACUUAUAGAUUGAUCCGCGCUGCAUUAGCUAGUUGGUAAGGUAACGGCUUACCAAGGCAACGAUGCAUAGCCGACCUGAGAGGGUAAUCGGCCACACUGGAACUGAGACACGGUCCAGACUCCUACGGGAGGCAGCAGUAGGGAAUCUUCCGCAAUGGGCGAAAGCCUGACGGAGCAACGCCGCGUGAGUGAUGAAGGUCUUCGGAUCGUAAAACUCUGUUAUUAGGGAAGAACAUAUGUGUAAGUAACUGUGCACAUCUUGACGGUACCUAAUCAGAAAGCCACGGCUAACUACGUG